rnacentral:rRNA from 1 species
CUAUACAUGCAAGUCGAGCGGACCGACGGGAGCUUGCUCCCUUAUGUCAGCGGCGGACGGGUGAGUAACACGUGGGUAACCUGCCUGUAAGACUGGGAUAACUCCGGGAAACCGGGGCUAAUACCGGAUGCUUGAUUGAACCGCAUGGUUCAAUUAUAAAAGGUGGCUUUUAGCUACCACUUACAGAUGGACCCGCGGCGCAUUAGCUAGUUGGUGAGGUAACGGCUCACCAAGGCGACGAUGCGUAGCCGACCUGAGAGGGUGAUCGGCCACACUGGGACUGAGACACGGCCCAAACUCCUACGGGAGGCAGCAGUAGGGAAUCUUCCGCAAUGGACGAAAGUCUGACGGAGCAACGCCGCGUGAGUGAUGAAGGUUUUCGGAUCGUAAAACUCUGUUGUUAGGGAAGAACAAGUACCGUUCGAAUAGGGCGGUACCUUGACGGUACCUAACCAGAAAGCCACGGCUAACUACGUGCCAGCAGCCGCGGUAAUACGUAGGUGGCAAGCGUUGUCCGGAAUUAUUGGGCGUAAAGCGCGCGCAGGCGGUUUCUUAAGUCUGAUGUGAAAGCCCCCGGCUCAACCGGGGAGGGUCAUUGGAAACUGGGGAACUUGAGUGCAGAAGAGGAGAGUGGAAUUCCACGUGUAGCGGUGAAAUGCGUAGAGAUGUGGAGGAACACCAGUGGCGAAGGCGACUCUCUGGUCUGUAACUGACGCUGAGGCGCGAAAGCGUGGGGAGCGAACAGGAUUAGAUACCCUGGUAGUCCACGCCGUAAACGAUGAGUGCUAAGUGUUAGAG